rnacentral:rRNA from 1 species
UACGAAGGGGGCUAGCGUUGCUCGGAAUCACUGGGCUUAAAGGGCGCGUAGGCGGGUCCUCAAGUCCGGGGUGAAAUCCCACGGCCCAACCGUGGAAGUGCCUUGGAUACUGAGGACCUCGAGGGGGAUAGGGGCGUGCGGAACUCAGGGUGGAGCGGUGAAAUGCGUAGAUAUCCUGAGGAACACCGGUGGCGAAAGCGGCGCGCUGGAUCCCUUCUGACGCUGAGGCGCGAAAGCCAGGGGAGCAAACGGG